UACGUAGGGUGCAAGCGUUGUCCGGAAUUAUUGGGCGUAAAGAGCUCGUAGGCGGUUUGUCGCGUCUGCUGUGAAAACCUGGGGCUUAACUCCGGGCCUGCAGUGGGUACGGGCAGACUAGAGUGCGGUAGGGGAGACUGGAAUUCCUGGUGUAGCGGUGAAAUGCGCAGAUAUCAGGAGGAACACCGAUGGCGAAGGCAGGUCUCUGGGCCGUAACUGACGCUGAGGAGCGAAAGCGUGGGGAGCGAACAGGAUUAGAAACCCCGGUAGUCC
rnacentral:rRNA from 1 species